GUGACAGUGUACAAAACGAUUUGCUGGCUUUUGUUUACUCAGCUGUCGCCAUUUUGCUGUCUUUGAUUUAUACGGCAUUGGUUUCCCUGGUUGCAUUGGGCACUUGUCUGCUGGAUGAUUGAGUUGUUUGGUGUUUGUUAGCUUUUACCAGACGCUGGGCAGCUCCUACCUUCUGCAUGCUGCAUUCCGCAAUAGCCGCAUACAAUCUUCUGAUAUGAGUUUGUUUUCCUUUUAUCAUACUUGGAAACUGGGUGCACUUCCUUUCGAGACUUUUCUUCAUUAUUUAUUGACUUCUCAUGUUUUUCACCUAUCAUUGUCUCGCAACACACA